rnacentral:rRNA from 1 species
GACGAACGCUGGCGGCGUGCCUAAUACAUGCAAGUCGAGCGAACGGCGAAGAAGCUUGCUUCUUCAAUGUUAGCGGCGGACGGGUGAGUAACACGUGGGCAAUCUGCCCGUAAGACUGGGAUAACUCCGGGAAACCGGGGCUAAUACCGGAUAACACUUUUCAUCUCCUGGUGGAAAGUUGAAAGAUGGUUUCGGCUAUCACUUACGGAUGAGCCCGCGGCGCAUUAGCUAGUUGGUGAGGUAACGGCUCACCAAGGCGACGAUGCGUAGCCGACCUGAGAGGGUGAUCGGCCACACUGUGACUGAGACACGGCCCAGACUCCUACGGGAGGCAGCAGUAGGGAAUCUUCCGCAAUGGACGAAAGUCUGACGGAGCAACGCCGCGUGAGUGAAGAAGGUUUUCGGAUCGUAAAACUCUGUUGUUAGGGAAGAACACGUACGAGAGUAACUGCUCGUACCUCGACGGUACCUAACCAGAAAGCCACGGCUAACUACGUGCCAGCCGCCGACGUAA